rnacentral:rRNA from 1 species
GUAGGUGGCAAGCGUUGUCCGGGAAUUAUUGGGGCGUAAAGCGCGCGCAAGCGGUUCUUUAAGUCUGAUGUGAAAGCCCACGGGCUCAACCGUGGAGGGUCAUUGGAAACUGGAGAACUUGAGUACAGAAGAGGAAAGCGGAAUUCCACGUGUAGCGGUGAAAUGCGUAGAGAUGUGGAGGAACACCAGUGGCGAAGGCGGCUUUCUGGUCUGUAACUGACGCUGAGGCGCGAAAGCGUGGGGAGCAAACAGGAUUAGAUACCCUGGUAGUCCACGCCGUAAACGAUGAGUGCUAAGUGUUAGGGGGUUUCCGCCCCUUAGUGCUGCAGCUAACGCAUUAAGCACUCCGCCUGGGGAGUACGGCCGCAAAGGCUG